UACGUAGGUGGCAAGCGUUAUCCGGAUUUAUUGGGUGUAAAGGGCGUGUAGGCGGGAGCGCAAGUCAGAUGUGAAAACUCAGGGCUCAACCCUGAGCCUGCAUUUGAAACUGUGUUUCUUGAGUGCUGGAGAGGCAAUCGGAAUUCCGUGUGUAACGGUGAAAUGCGUAGAUAUACGGAGGAACACCAGUGGCGAAGGCGGAUUGCUGGACAGUAACUGACGCUGAGGCGCGAAAGCGUGGGGAGCAAACAGG
rnacentral:rRNA from 1 species